CUUCGAUUACAUAAUUUAUUCAUCAAUUAAUUCCACUCCUACUAUUUUUAGUGAUUUUUCAAUCUCAUGACACUGCUGCUGCCAGCAUCUGUUACGAAAGUAACUAGGUCCAUUUCAUGCCUACCCUUGAUCCAACUCAAUCGAACAUUCGUGCCAUUUUCGCAUGGCUUAAAGUUUACAUGCCAAGGUUCAAACACAACGUAAUAGCUUAUACAUGCCAAAAUGUUCUUCUAAGCCAACUAAGAAGAAAGUACCAAAACUUGCUAUCCGGUGUGAUGACUUCGAUGACGGCCCGACCCCGCAAAAAUCGAUGAGUCCAAGCAACCUAUAAUGGGUGACAAGGAAACACCGGGUGAGUUUAUAACUCAGUAAGUCAUAAGCAAUGCUCUACUAUACAUCAAUAACAUUAUCACAAGAGGAACAAAAUGGAAUGAGACAAUUUACUCCAUCCAUACCGAACCAUGCCAUAGUUCCUCCAACCUAUCGAUUCAAUUUCAUAUCAAUUCAUGCAUUCACAACUCAUAUACUCAUCAAUAGGACAUUGAAGCAUUUUCAUAAAUCAAUUUAUUUUCGUUACAAUCAAACAACAAAACGGCCUUUCACCCAUCCUACGAUAAAUUUCUUUUAUGUACGUGACUUCAAGUAUAGUUGUCACAUAGGUUCAACUUACCGAGCUCAACACCAAGUACAAGCAUAGCACAUACUAGUCAUGUACUCAAGACACUUACCCGAUCCGCUGUCCGCGAUCGACUCAAUAGUGUCGCACCCAUAGUGUCCAUAAUGAUUCACGAAUGUAUAUCGAGUCCGCACACUCAGUGCUAUAUAAUCAACUCGCACACUUAGUGCUACAUAAUCAAAUCGCACACUUAGUGCUACAUAGUUAGACUCGCACACUUAGUGCCGCAUGGUCAAUUCGCACACUUAGUGCAUCAUAUUCAUUUCGCACACUUAGUGCAACAUAGUCGAAUCGCACACUUAGUGCUGUACAAUUUAAUCCCGCGCACUUAGCGCCAAUCUCAUGGUCAUAAAUGGUUAUCCCGCACGUUUAGUGCCGAGAUCAACAACUCAGUACAUCUUACCUCUUUUCAUUCAUUCAACAAUUUCAUCAUCACAUACGUACAUGCAUAUAUAUAUAUGUAUAUUUAUUCAUUCCAAUCAGCAUCAAUACAUACACAUUAUGACCAUUUAAAAUAAUACCCACUACAUGCUUAAUGACUUACUUUAUGUUGGGUAAAAUAAUUCCGAGUCGGCUACUCGAUGACCUUCGAUUUCCCCUUGUUGGACGCCUCUCCUUUAGGUUCUUGAGCUUAAAUAAUACAAAUAAGAGUAUUCAAUAUUUAACCCAAUAACAUGUAUUUAUUUAUCAUAUUCGGCAAUCAUACAUCAUUAAAUUUUUCAAACCAAGACGUCAUUAUAUGACCACAUAUACACAUAUCCAUAUACUUAAGCUCAAUAAUUAUAAUGUAAUAUCAUGUACCCACCUUAAGUAUAUUGCCGAAUAUACUUAAUCAUACAUGCACCUAACCAAAACAAUUUCCUAAAAUCUUCAUAUCAUUUAUACACUAGGCCGAUUGCUCUCACCAAGUUCACCUAUAUUCUUCAACAAUUCCUUCAUUGUUCAAGCACAUAUUCGGCUAAGAAAUGGCAAUUUUUAGCAACCUUCGAUUUAGUACCUAACUUUUACCACAUAUCAAAUAACUCACUUCCUUACUCAUGUGACCACGUAUAUUCGGUCAUGCAUACACACAUAAAAUCAAUUUGAAGACUCUAUCAAUCCAACAUACAAUCGGCAUCUUCAUCCACCAUUCUACCAAGCAUGUAAUAUUCAAACACAACCAAACUCACAUUCGGCCCUAGCUCAUAACAAGGUAGCCGAUUCUUUUUUUUUUUUUUUAUAGAUCAACCACUCCUCUAUCAUCAUUCACCUAACUUUAACAUGAAACAACAAAACUCACAAUUUCUCAUCCAAAUAACAUGAACAACAACCAUUCCUUGAACACUUUCUCAUGACCGAUUGCUCAUGUUAUCAACAAGAUUCAAGGUUUGAACAUGGGCUAUUUAAAACAUGCAUGCAUCUCUAAGACAACAUUAAACAUACCUUGGUCUAAAGGACCACCUUGGCCGAAUCUUGUUUCCCCUUCUUCCUCUAGUUAGAACAAUUGCAAAAGAAAGAAAAUAUGAACACUCCUUCUUCCCUCCUUGUUAAGCAUUCAAACUCCCUCAUUUUUCAUGCCACAACAUCAAACACUCUCCCUAGGCAAGCAAUGGCCGAAUCCCCUCCCAAGUUCUUUUCUCCCCUUCUUUUUCUUGGUUUUUCGGCUAGGUGAUGGCAAGUAUGACACCCAUUUUUUUUUUGUUCCCUUUUCUAUUAUUAAUCCCAUCAUUUGUUCACCAAAGAAACAUUUUAAAUUAGAAUGAGUGGAGCAUUAUCACUCCUUGGCCGGCCACCCAUCAUCUUUUGGGCAAUUUGACAUGCAAAACCACUCUUUUUGGUACAUGCACUAAUAGACCAUUUGAAUUAGACUAUCAUAUUUUUACAAUGUCUCAAAUUGAUCCCAAUUAAUAAUUUCUCAUGCAAUUGGUAAAAAUUAGGGAGUGAAACUUCCACAUACUCAUGUUCACACAUAAUAAGCAUAGAAUAUAGCAAGUAAUUAUUUUUACGACUCGGUCUUGUGGUCCCGAAACCACUUUCCGACUAGGGUAAAUUUUGGGCUGUCACAACUCUCCCCCCCUUAAGAAAUUUUCGUCCCCGAAAAUCUUACCGGUAAAUAGGUUUGGAUAUCGUUCUUUCAUCGAGCUCUCGGUUUCCCAAGUAGCUUUCUCGAUCCCGUGUUUGAGCCAUAACACCUUUACUAGCGGAACUCUUUUGUUUCGUAACUCCUUCACUUCACGAGCUAGGAUACGCAUCGGUUCUUCUUCAUAACUCAUAUCGGCUUGAAUUUUAACCUCUGAUGGGCUAAUUAUGUGCGAUGGAUCAGAUCUAUAGCGUCGAAGCAUCGAAACAUGAAAGACGUCAUGGAUCUUUUCAAGUUCAGGGGGCAAAAUCAAUCAAUACGCAACUGGACCAACUCGUUCGGAGAUUUCGUACGGCCCAAUGAAUCUCGGAUCUCUAUCCGACACGAUAGAAAUAGGUACUCCAUGUAAUCACACAAUCUGAGAGACAUACAAUUCGGCUAGUUUAUCCAAUGAAAGAUCCGUACGCACGGGGAUAAAGUGAGCCGACUUAGUCAGCCUAUCAACAACAACCCAAAUCGCAUCCUUCUUACUUGCGGACAAUGGCAGUCCAGACACAAAGUCCAUUGUGACUCGGUCCCAUUUCCACUCGGGUAUCAUGAUCGGCUGAAGUAACCCUGAAGGCACUUGAUGUUCCGCUUUCACUUGUUGACAUAUUAAACAUCUCGAAACAAAGUCGGAGAUGUCUCGUUUCAUACCACGCCACCAAAACCGACGUCUCAAGUCGUUGUACAUUUUCGUGCUCCCCGGGUGAAUUGACAUUCGGCUACAAUGGGCUUCGUUCAGAAUCAUCGGAAUGAGUUCCGAAUUCCUUGGAACACAUAAACGACUUCUAAACCUCAAACAACCAUCAUCAUCAAUCUGAAACUUCGAUUCCUUGUUCGGAACACACUCAGCUCGUUUUGCAACCAAUUCCUCAUCGACUUUCUGAGCUUCACGAAUUUGAUGAGUCAAUAAUGGUUUGGCUUUUAAUUCAGCUACUAACACAUUGUCAGGUAGAACAGACAAGUGUACAUUCAUCGCUCGCAAAGCAAACAGUGAUUUCCGGCUUAAGGCGUCCGCAACCACAUUAGCCUUUCCCGGGUGGUAAUCAAUGACAAGCUCGUAAUCUUUCAACAACUCAAGCCAACGUCUUUGUCGCAGAUUCAAGUCUCGUUGAGUCAUCAAGUAUUUGAGACUUUUGUGAUCCGAAAACACAUGGCACUUCUCACCAAACAAAUAAUGUCGCCAUAUUUUCAAUGCAAACACAAUGGCGGCUAGUUCGAGAUCAUGGGUCGGAUAAUUUCUCUCGUGUGGCUUCAAUUGUCUCGACGCAUAGGCCACAACUCCACCUUCUUGCAUCAAUACGCAACCCAACCCAAGUAGGGAUGCGUCACUAUAAACGACAAACUCCUUACCCGAUUCGGGUUGCACCAAAAUUGGAGCUUCAGUCAGAUGAGUUUUCAGUUGAUCGAAGCUUUUCUGACAUUUCUCCGUCCAUUCGAACUUAACAUCCUUCUGAAGUAGCUUCGUCAUUGGUGUGGCUAUCAUCGAGAAACCUCUGACAAAUCGUCGGUAAUAACCGGCGAGCCCUAGAAAGCUCUAGACUCCGGUAACAUUUCUCGGAGGCUUCCAGAUAAGUAUGGCUGAAAUUUUGCUCGGGUCAACUCGAAUACCCGAUGCGGAUACCACAUGACCCAAGAAGCUAACCUCUCUUAACCAGAACUCACACUUACUGAACUUAGCAUAUAACUGCUUAUCCCGCAAAAUUUGCAACACUAGCCUCAGAUGCUCAGCAUGUUCAGUCUCAUCUCUUGAAUAGACCAAGAUGUCAUCAAUAAACACAACUACGAACCGAUCCAAAUACAGCCUGAAGAUCCGAUUCAUCAAAUCCAUAAACACCGCAGGGGCAUUAGUGAGCCCAAACGGCAUCACUAAGAACUCGUAGUGACCGUACCUCGUUCUGAAAGCAGUUUUGGGUACGUCCGAAUCUCGAAUCCGCAACUGAUAAUAACCCGAUCUCAAAUCUAUCUUUGAAAACACCGAUGCUCCCUUUAAUUGAUCGAACAGAUCAUCAAUACGCGGUAACGGAUACUUAUUCUUUAUCGUCACUUUAUUCAGUUGACGAUAGUCAAUGCACAACCUCAUGGUUCCGUUUUUCUUUUUUUUUCACGAACAAUACUGGUGCACCCCAAGGUGAGAAACUCGGUCGGGCGAAACCUCUAUCCGUCAAUUCUUGCAACUGAGCUUUCAACUCUUUCAACUCGGUUAGUGCCAUACGAUAUGGAGCGAUCGAAAUAGGCGUAGUUCCAGGUACAAGCUCAAUACCAAACUCUACCUCCCGAACAGGUGGCAAACCCGGUAACUCUUCAGGAAAAACAUCCGGGUAUUCACAGACCACCGGCACCGAUUCAGGUUUCUUUUCUAACUCCUUGUCAUCAAGUACAUACGCGAGGUAUGCUUCGCACCCUUUCCUUACAUAUUUCUGGGCCAACAUUGCUGAUAUUACAGCUGGCAACCCCCUUAAGUCCGCAGACUCAACUCGGAUUAUUUCGUUAUUUGCGCACCUCAAGUCGAUAGUCUUGCUUUUGCAAUUUACAACCGCAUCAUGCGCGGUUAAACAAUCCAAACCAAGAAUAACAUCAAACUCGUCGAACGGCAAAAGCAUCAAAUCAGCCGGAAAACAGGAUUCUCGGAUUAUUAGAGGGCAUCUCUUACACACUUUAUCAACAAGUACGCAUUGGCCCAAAGGGUUUGAUACUCGAAUUACGAGCUCAGUAGACUCAACAGGUAGAGUCUUACUGGUUGCUAAGGUUUCGCAUACAUAUGAAUGAGUAGAACCAGGGUCAAUCAAUGCAAUCACAUUAGUAUCAAAGAGAGUGAAGGUACCAGUGAUGACGUCGGGGGAGGAUGCCUCCUCUCGUGCGCGAAUGGCAUAUGCUCUAGCAGGAGCACGGUCCUCGGCGCGAUCGGCCGUAUCAGAAGCCCCCCUCUGACUACCACCCCUGCCUCCAAAAAUUCUCGGUGGUCUACCUCUAGAUGUCACUCCACUAGGUCUUGCACCUUGAAUCUUAUUCUUCUCAUCCAGCUCCGUGCAAUCUCUAAUGAGAUGGUCCUUCGAACCGCACCCGUAACAGGCCCUGCUAGUAGACUUGCCCCAACAUUCACCUAGGUGUCGUCUUCCACAUUGCGGACAUUCAGGUUUCUCGUGACGAUUAUUGCCCACACUAGCUACCGAAGUAGCUCGGGAGCCUAUCGAUGGUCUUGCCCUGAUGGAAAUUCCCGCAGUCGCCCUCGACUUAUUAAUGUCCUCCCUGAACUUCUUCACAGCUGAGAACGGAGCUUUACCCGUCGAUCUUUUACGAUAAUCUCUAGCUUCAAAUUCAGCCUUCCUCUUCUCCUUUCCAAGUUCUCCCGCCUUGCAGGCUCGUUCGACUAGUGUUACGAAUUCUUUUAUUUCCAAAAUACCCAUUAGUAGCUUUAAAUCUUCAUUCAAUCCUUCCUCGAACCUUUUGCACAUAGCAACCUCAUCAGCUACACACUCCCGGGCAUACCUACUGAGUCUUACGAAUUCAUGUUCGUAUUCAGAUACAGUCAUACGGCCUUACUUGAGUUCCAAGAACUCCUUACGCUUCUGAUCAAUGAACCGUUGGCUAAUAAAUUUCUUUCGGAAUUCCGUUUGAAAGAAGUCCCAAGUUACUUGCUCGUUCGGGACUAUGGAAAUCAAGGUCCUCCACCAAUAGUAGGCUGAGUCUCGCAACAAAGAUACAGCACAUUUUAGACAUUCGUCAGGUGUGCAUGACAAUUCAUCGAACACCCGAAUGGUGUUAUCAAGCCAGAACUCGGCCCUUUCGGCAUCAUCAGUUACUAUGGCCUUGAACUCCUCGGCCCCACGCUUCCUAAUCACGUCUACAGGUGGCUUACUCAGCCUCACAGGAUCAGCGACUGAUGGCAUUACAGGCUCUUGGGGUGGAUUAUUCAAAUUUGGGAAUUGUUGGACAGCCGGGUUGGUUCGGGCAUAUUGCGCGACCCACUCAUUCAUCAUGGUAAAGAAGGCUUGUUUAGCCCCCUCACCUUGAUUAUUCGCAGAUGACUGAGGUUCAACAGGCGGCGUCGCGGCGUCCCUUGUGCAGGAGCAGCCGCUACGCUCUCAACGUCAUCCGCUAGGGUUCUUUCUUCACCGGGGUCCAUUUACAAAUCAAAACAAAAACAUUUCAACCGUCAGAAGUCAUCACACAUUUAAACAUUAACAUUCGGCAUGUAUAGCUAGACUCAUACGAGCUAUGGUAGUCCUAGAAUUGACUAAACCAUAGCUCUGAUACCAAUCAAAUGUAACACCCCGAACCCGAAACCGACACCGGAGUCGAACACGAGGUGUUAACUGACUUUAACCCCUUAUAAAAUUUAUUUUCCAGACACUGCCCAAUCUGUGUACUAGUCGUUUUAAAAAUCAUAUCUUGAGUUUCGUAACUCGAAAAUCAAUUUCGUGAUUUUUCCCAGAAACUAGACUCAUGUGCCCAUCUAUGUAUUUUUUUCUAGAAUUUUUGGUCGGGCCAAUUUGUACAGUUUAUUAGUCAAAGUCUCCCAUAUUGCGGGGGUCGACUACACUGACCUUUGCCCAUUACGACUUGGAUAUCUCCCUUCACGGGGCUGCAAUACUGAUGCCGUUUGUUUCUAUGAAAACUAGACUCAUAGAGGAAUCUGUAAAUAUAUGGUACGACCCCUAAUUAUCUCUGGUUAAUUUAUAAUGAAUUUCCAAAGUCGGAGCAGGGAAUCCAGAAACCGUUCUGGCCCUGUCCCACAAAAAUCUGAUUAUCUCUUAAUAUACUGCCCAUAUGAUCUUUUCGUUACUUCCUCAUGAAAACAGACUCAUCGAGCUUCGAUUACAUAAUUUAUUCAUCAAUUAAUUCCACUCCUACUAUUUUUAGUGAUUUUUCAAUCUCAUGACACUGCUGCUGCCAGCAUCUGUUACGAAAGUAACUAGGUCCAUUUCAUGCCUACCCUUGAUCCAACUCAAUCGAACAUUCGUGCCAUUUUCGCAUGGCUUAAAGUUUACAUGCCAAGGUUCAAACACAACGUAAUAGCUUAUACAUGCCAAAAUGUUCUUCUAAGCCAACUAAGAAGAAAGUACCAAAACUUGCUAUCCGGUGUGAUGACUUCGAUGACGG
rnacentral:lncRNA from 1 species